CCGUCAUUCACAGCGCGGCCGCAGGGGAAGCUGGGAGCCCUGCGCUGACUGGAGUUUGGAGCUCUCAGUCGCGUGCGCUUCUGAGUUCUGAUUGUGUCUUAGUGUCAGUGUUGGACCAAGCAGUGGAGCAGCUGUUCCAGUAUGCUGGGGAACUACAUGAGGAAAACUGACCAGAGAUACAUGGGACAAUCAUGGAGAUUAUGACUCGGGAUGGCUUCAGUCAUGUCCAACAGAAUCUGUAAGAUGCUUAACAACUCUUGAUUUUUGGUCACUGUUUUGCUAAAAAAAUUUCAAAGCAUUAUGUUAAGAGAAAGUAAUUGCUAAUCUGCUUUAAAAGUUCUAGUUUGAAU
rnacentral:lncRNA from 1 species